rnacentral:ncRNA from 1 species
GAAAUCCCGUAAUCCUGGACGGACCACCGGUGGCGAAAGCGCCUCUGGAAGACGGAUCCGACGGUGAGGGACGAAAGCUCGGGUCACGAACCGGAUUAGAUCCCCGGGUAGUCCGAGCUGUAAACGAUGUCUGCUAGGUGUGCCACAGGCUACGAGCCUGUGGUGUGCCGUAGGGAAGCCGUGAAGCAGACCGCCUGGGAAGUACGUCCGCAAGGAUGAAACUUAAAGGAAUUGGCGGGGG